UAUCUGGAUCCUUAACAGGAUCCAAGCAACAGUAAUCCUCAUAAAAUAACGAUAUAUAUGAUUUGGCCACAUUCCAUUAUUUUAUUAAACACCAGUUUAAACACAUCCAUUAAUGUAAGAUAAAAAGGAAAGUAUGUUUUUUACUACUCUUAAGUGUCAAGUAAAAAUUUAGAAGAGACCGGGUGUGGUGGCUCAUGUCUGUAAUUCCAGCAUUUUGGAAGGUUAAGGCAGGAGGACAGCUUGAGCCCAGAAGUUCGAGACCAGCCUGGGCAACACAGUGAGACCGUGUCUCUACAAAAAAUUAGCUGGGGAUGGUGGCAUGUGCCUGUAGUCCCAGCUACCUGGGAAUCUGAGGCAGGAGGAUUGCUUGAGCCCAGAAGUUCAAGGCUGCAGUGAGCAAUGAUUGCACCACUGCACUCUAGCCUGAGUGACAGAGCAGGACCUUAUCUCUAA
rnacentral:lncRNA from 1 species